AUUCAAGGGCCUGGCUGUAUGUAGCCCAAUAAGACACAUUCAAACUAGUUAUGACAGGUAUUACAUACUGCACAAAUGGUAUGCCAGUCCGCUGGCGCAUGAUGUACGUUUUGAUGACUCAACAUUGUUACUGGACACUUGUUCACACUGUAUUGCCCUGUGUUGCCAUUGUACUUUAUAAAAAAAAAAAAAUACCACAAUUUGAAAUACCCUAGGGUGUCUUCUUUACAAAAAAU